GCCAGCAGCCAUAUCAGCCUGCAACUCAAAACUGGCAAACCACUGAAGCAGGUGUGAGCCUGUCCAGUACCUGGAUGGGAGACCUCCUGGGAAAAACCAAGGUUGCUGCUGAAA
rnacentral:rRNA from 1 species